UACACAAUCUCUUUGUAUCAGGAUCUCAUGGAUCUGCAGGCACACAGCGUCCCGCACUCAGAAGUGCUUGGUUUAAGGCUCUGCUGUUGCUGUCUCCCAUCCUCUCUCCCAUCCCCUCCUCCCAUUCCCUCCUCCAAUCCCUGCUCCCAUCCCGUCUCCCAUCCCCUCGUCCCAUCUCCUCCUUCCAUCCCCUCCUCCCAUCCCCACCCCUCCUCCAACUCCUCCUUCUAGACUCCCCUACCACUCACUUUUCCUCCCUGACCUUCACCCCCCUCACCUUCCUCACCCAGUGUCAGCUCAUAUCAGGGGGCCCUGAGCUUCCUGGAAGGUCACCUUACCAGGUGCGUACAAGACCAUGCAUGAGUGUUGUAUUUGUAGAAAACAGGAGACUUCAACAGGUAGGUACUCACUAUUUUUAGAAGACUAGUUCGGCUGGGUGCGGUGGCUCAUGCCUGUAAUCUCAGGACUCUGGGGGAGGCUAAGGCAGGCAGAUUACCUGUCCCAACUGCCAAUCACAGUUAGUGCUGGAGGAGACUGGUCUGACCUCAGCUCUGC
rnacentral:lncRNA from 10 species